ensembl:snoRNA
GGCUUACCAAUGAUGUCCAAAAAUAAAUGUCUGAACAAAUGACUGUCCAGUGAUAAUGAUUUUGUACUGAGGUAAGACU